rnacentral:lncRNA from 1 species
UAUUCAUUCCUGCUUCCUCCUACUUGCUCCACACAUUGCCAUACAUUUGGUCUGUUAGGAGUUCCUCCUUCACACUUCCACCUCUACUUCCCCUAAAUCCGUGAUAUUUUGCA